rnacentral:tRNA from 1 species
GUCCCUAUCGUCUAGAGGCCUAGGACAUCGCCCUUUCACGGCGGUAACCGGGGUUCGAAUCCCCGUAUGGACGCCA